UACGUAGGGAGCGAGCGUUGUCCGGAUUUACUGGGUGUAAAGGGUGCGUAGGCGGCAAUGCAAGUCAGGCGUGAAAGCUCGGGGCUUAACCCCGAAACUGCGCUUGGAACUGUGUUGCUUGAGUGAAGUAGAGGUAGGCGGAAUUCCCGGUGUAGCGGUGAAAUGCGUAGAGAUCGGGAGGAACACCAGUGGCGAAGGCGGCCUACUGGGCUUUAACUGACGCUGAGGCACGAAAGCAUGGGUAGCAAACAGG
rnacentral:rRNA from 1 species